rnacentral:ncRNA from 1 species
AUCUGAAAAAGGCAAAACCAUCGAAAGGUGGUGACGCAAAAUUACCAGUCUAAAGGAAUUUUCCUAUGACAGUGGGAUCGCCAGA